rnacentral:rRNA from 1 species
AAAGGAAUAGACGGGGCCCCGCACAAGUGGCGGAGCAUGCGGAUUAAUUCGAUGCAACGCGAAGAACCUUACCUGGGUUUGAAAUAUGCCGGAAACACCUAGAGAUAGGUGCCCCUUUUAGGUCGGUAUACAGGUGGUGCAUGGCUGUCGUCAGCUCGUGUCGUGAGAUGUUGGGUUAAGUCCCGCAACGAGCGCAACCCUCGUCUAAUGUUGCCAGCGGUUCGGCCGGGAACUCAUUAGAGACUGCCGGGGUCAACUCGGAGGAAGGUGGGGAUGAGGUCAAGUCAUCAUGCCCCUUAUGUCCAGGGCUUCACGCAUGCUACAAUGGCCGGUACAAAGAGCUGCCAGCCUGCAAAGGUGAGCGAAUCUCAAAAAGCCGGUCUCAGUUCGGAUUGGGGUCUGCAACCCGACCCCAUGAAGGCGGAGUCACUAGUAAUCGCAGAUCAGCAACGCUGCGGUGAAUACGUUCUCGGGGCUUGUACACACCGCCCGU